AACAUCGCGCACCUGCGGGAACCUGCGGAGGGAUCAUUACAGAGUUGCAAAACUCCCUAAACCAUUGUGAACGUUACCUAAACCGUUGCUUCGGCGGGCGGCCCGGGUCCUUCCCGGCGCCCCUCGGCCCCCGCGGGCGCCCGCCGGAGGUAAACCAAACUAUUGCAUUGUAUGGCCUCUCUGAGUCUUCUGUACUGAAUAAGUCAAAACUUUUAACAACGGAUCUCAGAUCGGAAGAGC
rnacentral:misc_RNA from 1 species